CCCUGCCCUCUGACUUUUAACAGCCGCGGUAUCCUAACCGUGCUAAGGUAGCAUAAUCACUUGCCUAUUAAUUAUAGGCUAGAAUGAACGGGAUCACUCACUUAAACUUAUUUUUAUUUAAAUUUAAAUUAAACUUUAAGUCAAAAUACUAAAUUAAAAAGAAAGACAAAAAGACCCUGAAAACUAUUAGAAAUAAUUAGUUGGGGCAACUAUAGACCACUCUAGCGUCUAUUUUUUUUUUUAAACUCUUAAAAUCUAAAGUAUCCAGUUACUUCAGGGAUAACAGACUAAUUUUAUUAUUUAGACCCAAUAAAUAAUAAAGAUUGGCACCUCGAUGUUGGCUUAUAUUUCCUUCAUAUAGCAACAUAUAUAGAAGGCAGCU
rnacentral:rRNA from 1 species